GUCUACGGCCAUGCCACUCUGAACAAGCCCAAUGUCUGAUCUCGGAAGCUAAGCAGGGUCGGGCCUGGUUAGUACUUGGAUGGGAGACCACCUAGGAAGACCAGGUGCUGUAGGCA
rnacentral:rRNA from 1 species